GAUGAACGCUGGCGGUAUGCUUAACACAUGCGAGUCGAACGGACUCUUCGGAGUUAGUGGCGGACGGGUGAGUAACGCGUGAGAAUCUGGCUUUGGGUUCGGGACAACCACUGGAAACGGUGGCUAAUACCGGAUGUGCCGAGAGGUAAAAGAGAAAUUGCCUGAAGAUGAGCUCGCGUCUGAUUAGCUAGUUGGUGAGGUAAGGGCUCACCAAGGCAGCGAUCAGUAGCUGGUCUGAGAGGAUGACCAGCCACACUGGGACUGAGACACGGCCCAGACUCCUACGGGAGGCAGCAGUGGGGAAUUUUCCGCAAUGGGCGAAAGCCUGACGGAGCAAUACCGCGUGAGGGAAGAAGGCUCUUGGGUUGUAAACCUCUUUUCUUAGGGAAGAACAAAAUGACGGUACCUAAGGAAUCAGCAUCGGCUAACUCCGUG
rnacentral:rRNA from 1 species